rnacentral:rRNA from 1 species
ACGCUCGACACCUACGGGAGGUAGCAGUGGGGAAUAUUGCACAAUGGGGGAAACCCUGAUGCAGCGACGCCGCGUGGAGGAAGAAGGUCUUCGGAUUGUAAACUCCUGUUGUUGGGGAAAAAGAGGAUGGUACCCAACAAGGAAGUGACGGCUAACUACGUGCCAGCAGCCACGGUAAUCUGAGCGGGCUGGCAAGGC